UACAGAGGUCUCAAGCGUUGUUCGGAUUCAUUGGGCGUAAAGGGUGCGUAGGUGGCGCCGUAAGUCAGGUGUGAAAUCUCGGGGCUCAACCCCGAAACUGCACUUGAUACUGCGGUGCUCGAGUACUGGAGAGGAGAUUGGAAUUUACGGUGUAGCAGUGAAAUGCGUAGAUAUCGGGAGGAACACCAGUAGCGAAGGCGGCUCGCUGGGCCGUUCCUGACGCUGAGACGCGAAAGCUAGGGGAGCGAACAGG
rnacentral:rRNA from 1 species